AACUGAAUUGUUAUCUUUGCUCAUACAAGUAUAAAUAUACACACCAUCAACUGCUGAACAAAUCAUAACUUCAUAUUUUCCAUAAGGAAAGCUCUGUGAACUUAAUAAGAUAUAACCAUGCCUGGAACGGGAGACAAGAAGAAAUGUCCAGACCCAUGCCCAAAACCAAAGCCCCAGAAAUGCAAAGACCCUUGCAAGAGUACUCCGCAGUGCCCUAAACCAACACCAAAAUGCAAAGAUCCCUGCAAGCCGCAAGAUUGUACCCAAGACAAAAAAUGUGUCAAGAAGUGUUAAACAAGAAAUGAAAUAACUACUCUGUUAUUUAUUUAUGUGAAGACGUCUGACCCAAAAUCUUGCUCAUAUCAAGUUAUGCUGUGUCUCAUAAUACCUUGGAAUCCAGUUCUAGUAAAAAAUACUCAGCCUUUAUAUUAUGAUAUCCUGAAUACAUAAUGUCUGAAUAAAUGGAGCUAUAAACUCA